AUAAUCUCUCUAUUUAAAGUUCAAAGUGACCCUGGAAAACAGUAACAAGUAAGCCUGGCGCUGAUCAGCCCACCCAACGACAGGAAGAAUGGCUGAAAAAGAAUCUACAUCAUCACGCAUUCUGGUCCCUAUUCUUCUCUUGAUUGCCUGGAUUGUGGGCUGCAUCGUAAUGGUUUACAUUACCUUCUUUUAGAAAGGCAAGACGACUUCAGACUGACGCCAUUUAGAAGAAUGAAGACAAGUGUGAACAUGACAGAUUAUUAAAUAUGUCUCAUGUAGACAACUGCAAUGUUUGACACUACUUCAUAAACUUGGAUUUGUAAACUGA